UUAAUCCUUUUGUUUCUUCCAUUAUCGAUAUCAUCUGGUCUCACUUCAAGAAAUCAGAUUCAGCAGAAGGUCCGCUGUGUGAAGGCCACAUCUUCUGGUUCGACAGGAAAAGGAGAGUUGAGCUAUCUCAACCAAUUUUUACCUUGACCAACACAGAGUUCAACCCUCUCUUUACUCUUUAGAACCAAGGAUCCGGACUUAGCUUCAUUUUUCAGCUAGCUAAAUGCGUGGAUGAUUGCUCUGGGCAAUGCAUAAUUGGAAAGGAAAUUCGGAAAUGGUAAUGUUUAUUUUUAGUUUAUAGAGGAAGAACAUGCUACGAACACCCUUAAGAAUCUAACCGGAAGAUUUUAUGCUGUUUACUAGGAGCAGAACAAAAUCAUUACUUUUGAAGUAAGAUUAGGAGCAUAGUUCUGGUUCUCAAUCUUCAUCUCUGCCAGAAUUGGACGAUUAAAUGACGGAGUUGAGUCCCUAGCAAAGCAUGGUCAUGUGGAUUGCAUGUUUCUUUUUGGGGGUUUUUUGAUUGUUGGCUUCUCAAAGUGUGAGACUCUAUUUUUGAUGUUCACACCAUGGUACGUACUUGGAUUUUGUACAAUGGAUAACGAGGUGGAGGAAGUGUGAAAAAUUGGAAGUCAACUUACGCGAGGAAUUAAUGAACAAUGUGAAGAUUAAUAUCAAUUUCAGGGAAAUAUUGAAUUUUCUUUUUAAUUUUGGCACGUUGAACAAUUAAUGAUGAAUUGUAAAUUAAUGCCUUACUCUUUUGAUAUGUUUAAUGGUGAAUUUAAACAUGGAUUAUUUUUGGUAAUGGCAUUAAGUGUAAAUUUUUAGCAUUCUA